GGGAUGUGCUCAGAGCAGGGGGCCUGAAGAAUGGCUCCUCUGUGUGCAACACACCCAACAGGAAUCCAGGUUCAUUGGGACAAGGAGCACACAACUUGUGGCCUUCCUAUGAACAAAUGCCCUACACAU
ensembl:snoRNA small nucleolar RNA SNORA11